UACGAAGGGGGCUAGCGUUGCUCGGAAUGACUGGGCGUAAAGGGCGCGUAGGCGGCUUGCACAGUCAGGCGUGAAAUUCCUGGGCUCAACCUGGGGACUGCGCUUGAGACGUGUGGGCUUGAGUGGGGAAGAGGGUCGUGGAAUUCCCAGUGUAGAGGUGAAAUUCGUAGAUAUUGGGAAGAACACCGAUGGCGAAGGCAGCCAUCUGGACCGACACUGACGCUGAGGCGCGAAACGUGGGGAGCAAACAGG
rnacentral:rRNA from 1 species